GAAAUUCAGGUAUGCUGGUCUUUUUGAGUAUUGCUUAAAGUCAUGGGAAAAGAGCUCUCUGUGAGUUCCAGGACAGAUGCAAGGACUGGCAUUCAUGCACAGCUUCUAAUAGAUAAAUCUGAAGAGUUUUUAGUAUGCAUGUUGACUGAAAUUACCUUAGAAGUAAUUUUUCUCCUGGUGAUAAAAGGCAUGUAAGGCUAUUUUAGGAAAUUGAAAAAUGCAAAAAGGUAUAAAGAAAAAGAAAAGAUAAUCAUUAAUAGUACAUUAGUAAACAAGAAAUAAAUGUGCAUCUUUUAUGGUAAUAAAAGCACAUUAUGAAGAAUUUUUUAGGUCCAGUUCACAGAUUCCUUGUGCCUGGGGAAAACUUUAUUAGAAAAUUAGAUAAUUUCUAAUUUGAUUAGGGGAAGUCUAAUGGGAAAACAUUUUAACUGAGCGGUCCAAUUCGAAACAUGAAUAUCUGUGCUGGAAGCUUCUAUUGAACUUUACUUAAGUGACAUCUAAG
rnacentral:lncRNA from 10 species